ensembl:lncRNA
GUUGUGCGUGUGCUUCUGGGGACUUGAAUGAAUGUGUGUGUGCAUGUGGUGCAGUGCAUGUGUGGACCAAGUGGUGAGUGUGUGUGUGUGUGUUUGGUGUGUGUGUGUGUUUGGUGUGAUGGCUGCCUGUGUGGGUCGUGUCGGGCAUGAAACUCUGGGUCCUCGACAAUAAUACUUGUUCCCCUCAGGGCCACAUGCAAGCAUGCACACACACACAUACACACCGGCCAGAGAGACAGACGGACGGACGGACGACAAGAGAGACAGACGGACAGACAGACAGAGGCGUACACACACACGCAUCCAAGCAUGCACACGCACACACACACACACACACACACACACACACACACACACACACACACACACACACACACACACACACACACACACACACACACACACCCACACACACACACACACACACACACACACACACCCACCCCACUAAGGCCACUUCCUCCUGUCUCAUAACUUUAGAUUCAGAACGCACCCAAACGUAAACAGCCGAUAAAAACCAGAGGAAGUCCGCCGGGGUCAUGUGGCUAUGGAGGUCAGAGGUCAACAAGCUCUCUGAAAGCCCCCCCGGUGACAGGAGGACGAACGGGGAGCUGGCGGGAAAGAAAGCACCACGAAGAAACGUCCGUCGCUCUGUCGGUCGGACGAACGACAUGUAAACACAGAAGCACGCGGGCGGAGACCAGCCAGGAAACCGCUUUAACCUCCACGUCGGGCGACGCCCUUCUCAGCUGGAAGGAACGAGGUCUGGAAGAGACUCGUCUGGACCAGCGAUGCAUUCGUCUAUCUGUUGUUAAAUGGACCGCAUUUAUACCGCGCUUUUCUAACCGGUUGCCACUCAUAGAGCUCUACGAUAACGCCUCACAUUCACCCAUUCAUGCACACAUUCACACACCGACGGCGGAGUCCAGCAUGCAGGGUGACAGCCAGCUCGUCAGGAGCAGAGAGGGUGAGGUGCCUUGCUCAGGAACACCUCGACAAUCAGCUAGGAGGAGCCGGGGAUCGAACUAGCAACUUCCAGUUACCAGCCAACCCGCUCUACCUCCUGGCCAUCGUACCACUCAAUAUGUUUGCUAAUAUGUUUCUUAAGGGUCUUUAUAGCUCUACAGACUAGACAGUUGGUUAAUCUGAAAGACGCUCUUGAUAGAUGUGUCUGCCGAACGAGUAUAUUUAAACGUACUAAUGAUGCCCCUGGCUGACAUCUCUCUGGGUGUUGUGGAUCGCAAGUCAUAUAUCUGCAAUCGUCUGCCGCUUGUCUUUCUGUUGAUCUAAUAUCACUGCCUUCAUUCCCCCUACGAGUUUUAUGAUUACUUACAACGUUUAAAUAAAGGGUUGUACAAAUGAUAAGACGUUAUAAUGUGUGGUUUGUUUGUUUCAUCACAUUUCAAAUCAGCAUUGUGUAACCCAGCCUGUUCUUAUCCAAUGCUACAUUUCCUCCAUAUCGCGUAUUGCUAGGGAAGGCAACAUCUCUCGAGCUAGCACUGCAUCUAAAUGUCUCUCAGUGGGAGGGCAGGAUCUGCCAGUCGUGUUCUGCAGCACUGCCCUCACUGGGUAUUUGUCCAACAGAGGAGGGUCUCAAUGGUGUGAUCCAUGGCUCCAUAAAAUAAGUUCAAGCCUGCGUUCUGGUCCAAUAAUUCUGGAAUAACCAAGCAAGAACUUGUUAUGAUUCUUAAUGAUGGUGAAAUAGCAUAGAUAUGGCGGCAACAGUGUCCUUUGUAGACUUCUAGAACAUGUAAAUAAACGAGCUGCAGCUUAUAUUCCUAACAACCGAUAGAGACCAGCGUCGACAACACACGCACACCCCAAAUGCAUUCCCAGCGUACACACACGGACGCCACCGGUGAUUAACAGCAUAACGACACUAAUGCACGGGGCUUGGCGGUCGAGUCCGGCGGUGGAUGUUUGGGGAGGGGCUGAGGUGGAACACAUCAACAAAAGGUUAAUGGCGGCCGCACAGCGGAUGGAGAUCAGUGCCUGGCGCCCUAUCUCUGGUCCAAAACACGGUAACGAGGUGAGCAUCAACGUGGCGAGAGAGGGGCUGUGCUUUGAUGUUUACAGACAUGGUUCUGUUUCCCUGUGGGCCCAGUGCAGCGCGUCUCUCUCUCUGGGCAGUCAGCACAUCUAUAGAUCUAUAGAUCUAGGAGUAUGGACCCCCUAUGGCCUUGCAUUACGGAUCCUUUCAAUGUAAACACCGGAUGCAUUAGGGCGGAGCGAUACCUCCUCUUCCUGCAGGAAGGCCGUUGACCACUCACAGGCCUCUGAUGAGCUCCCGAACCGAACUGCACUUAGUGUGGUGGUCUCCUAGCAUGACCUUUGGGAUCACACAAUGCAUCUUUAUACUGCUCUCCACCAUGGUAUAUGCGUGUGCGCGCGUGAGUGUGUGUGCGCAUGCAUCGGUUAGUGUGUGCUUGUCUGUGUGUAGAUGUUUUCGUGUGUGUGUUUGUGUUUGUGUGUUUAAGUGUUCUUUUUAUUUUAGGCAGUGAGGUUAUGCGCCGGGCAAACAGCAGAAGGUCUCUGCUUCUUAUGAAUGAUCAAUCGGGCUUUUGAUAUCAUGCCCUGUGAGAAGAUUGAUGAGCAUCACGGGGGCUAAGUGCACACACACUAUCACAUGCGCGCACACAAAUGUGAAAGAAAUGUGCAACGUCACCAGCUUACACGCCCACACGCACCCAAUAACGUGCACGCGCUGGUGGCCAUAUUUUCCCUCUGAGAUUGAAAAGGCUUUAGCGCGAGCGCUGGCAGUCUGUCUGAACGCUACGUGGAGGGCAGCAGCAGAACGGCGGGGAGGAGAGCGUCCACGAGGCCUUCUGCGUGUUAUUACCAUAAGUACCAAGGAGGGAUUAGAAGAUGACAGGGGAGAGAACAAGAGGCGCCUCCUGUGACAUAUCCCAUAAUACUUCAUUUAAUAACACCGGCGCCCAGAUCUGCCUGGUCGCGGCUCGGCUAUCACAACACGAUGCGCUCCUCUCCUCCCUUUCUCCCCCUCCCCCCCUGGGGGGGUUGUGUGGGUGGGGGGGGGUUCAAGUGCUUCUCGGUAAUGGGCUUGGAUCCAUCACUCCCCGUGCGACCCGACGCACGCCUCCCGCGUUGAACCCCGCCGUGGCGCUAAUGGCUCGCUGGACUCUAACGGCCGCUAGCGAGCUCCGGCGUGAUUAGCGUUGGGGUCGGCCGCACCUGCUGACCUCAGUGAGGUUAAAUAAGAAGGUCAAUCAUAAACAGGGGCGGUGUUGGUGUGAAUGAGUUGAAAACACCUACAGCAGAUAUAGACGAGGCUCUGACUCAUGUGAAUCUAAAGGAGGCUGUAAGUCCUCCAAGAAGACCAAAUAUAUACACAUCGCUGUGUAGAAAGAGCCAGAAUCUCAGAGAACAUCUCUGGCUUCAGUCCGCCCUGGCAUCGAGGAGCUGCUUCCCCCCCCCCCCCGAUCAAAACAGAACACAUAAAAGAAUUUCUUAGCAGCAGCUGUUUUCUUUUACUUAUUAUAAAUAACCUGCAUCGAACAAAACAGCACAUCACACACACCUCGCACACACAGACUUUGCACGCAUCAUAUCGCGUGUGAUUCACGCCACCGCAGCGCAAGCUCAACCCUCUCUGGUUGAGCCUCUGAAUCCCUUCCAGGCCUUCCUGGGUGGAGUAGUCCUGCACAUGUGGGCCUGAGAGAUAAGGCGGCGCAGGAACUGACAGGCGGGUCGGCGACCCGCAGCUCAUCUCAACACUCACAUCGCGGCAGCGGGUUUAUAACGGGCGGGAUCUAUUCAAAUGUCCCGGGUGGGGAAGGGUUCUUCUCCCUGCGGCCACAACGACCACGUACGUUGUGUUGCUGGGCGGUUGUGUUUCAGCAGGGCACUGAUAGCUGUGUUGUAGUAGCGCUGUGAUACACCUUCACACACCCAAUGGGGGGGGGGUAUCCACUGAGCGGCGUCAUUGAGCCAAGCAUGGAGAGGUGCCGGCAGGUUAACACGUCACAUCAUGUUGGGACGCGAACCAAUGACUUCCGUAGGCACCGACCUGGCAGUCGCGACGUGAUUGGUGGGAGUGGAUCAAAGGCAGGGUGCUUUGGCCUUUACUCAAGUAACACACACAUAGAGGACUCGCACAAACACACACACACACACGCGCGCAAAUGCUCACACCUGACACACGCACAUAUUGGACAAACCCCUCGACAAACACACAAGCCACACACGUGCAUAUAGACACACAAAUUCAGGCACGUAUCAGAACCCAACACAUACAAUACAAACGGCACACACACACACACACACACACACACACACACACACACACACACACACACACACACACACACACACACCACCAGCCGGAGCUGUCCUCUCUGUUGUGUGUAGCUGACAUGACCCAGGGCAGCCCCCUGUGAGCGCCUCUCUGCUCACACGCCCCAAUGAUAGUAGGGGGGGGGGGGGGCAGCUAACUACCCCCCCCCCACAGCAGCUCACAAUGCCCAGGAUGUCAGCUGGCGGCCGACCGUUCCACCGGAUCCAGCCCAGUGUGCGGAAACACAAAAAGGCACCAAUCCCGUUCCCGACCGUCGGCCCUCGCUCUCCACCGGGUUUGGUCGUGUUGUCGCUCUCUUUUCCCCCUCGCACGGUUCCUCCUCGUGUUGUUCGAAAAAGAAGGCGGCUGGAGAGUGAACACGUCGGCUAAUCUCAUCCUGCACCAGAGUGGGUUCAGCCGCCUGGGAGGGUGAUCACCACGGCUCGCUGUCCUUCAGACAGAGCGAUUCUGUCUGUUUCAGAGGAGCCGUUCUGAUCCCAACACUGACACGCUAGGAGGCUAACGCUAGGAGGCUAAUGCUAGGAGGCUAAUGCUAGGAGGUUAAUGCCAGGAGGCUAGCGCUAGGAGGCUAACGCUAGGAGGCUAGCGCUAGGAGGCUAACGCUAGGAGGCUAACGCUAGGAGGCUAAUCCUAGGAGGCUAAUGCUAGGAGGUUAAUGCCAGGAGGCUAGCGCUAGGAGGCUAAAGCUAGGAGGCUAACGCUAGGAGGCUAGCGCUAGGAGGCUAACGCUAGGAGGUUAAUGCUAGGAGGCUAAUGCUAGGAGGUUAAUGCCAGGAGGCCAACGCUAGAAGGCUAGCACUAGGAGGCUAAUGCUAGGAGGUUAAUGCUAGGAGGCUAGUGCUAAGCCCACGUUGUCACACCUCACCCGUGUCAACGACUUAAGCACACCCAAAGAGACGGAGGACUUCAGUCUUUGAAUCACACGUUUACAUGCCGGACAUCGUUAGAAUUCGUCCCUUCGUUCUGAGAGAACCGCCUUAACCGGCAGGCAACAUCCGGUUUCCCGCACAGAGUGGUUUGGUUUCUGUGUUGCUAGCUCAAUGCUACAUGUGGUCGUUUUAAAUAAACAUUAAAAGGAUCCUCAAACUAUAAGCAUAUAAGCCACGAGCAUAUUUUACAACCAAGGUUAAUAGUGGAAGGAUCAAUAAAAUCACAACUACCAUUAGAGAAAGAGUGAGGCAAUAUUCAUUAUUCAUAUCUCUAAUGUGGACUAUAGAAGCCCCCCCCCCCCCCCCCCCAGCAAUAAAUAUAUAAAUACAUGUACAACACCAAUGACUCAGAUGGUAUGGCAUGUUUUACAGAAUCCUUAUUCUUUGACAAUAAACUGCCAAAUUCAAAAUGAAGCAUCUCACUUUUAGGGGUUCAGCGAGCUAUUACAUCAUUUAUUUCCUCCAUACCUGACUUAGUUAUUCUGGGAUUUGAGGCAGUAAUCCAUUUUACUUUGUCAGCUCGUAUUACUCAAAACGUUUAGCUCGAAAGUAGCUGAAGGGGGGGAGAGGGAUGUGGGGGGGGGUCCUGGCUUUGGGGUCUACCAUGCUUCUCUCGAAUAUAAAUAAGUGUGUGUGUGUGUGUGUGUGCGUGUGCGUGUGCGUGUGCGUGUGUGUGUGUGUGUGUGUGUGUGUGUGUGUGUGCGCGUGCGGUCGAGGCUUUUGUCACGGAACCUGUUGUUGACAAUGGUCAACAAUGAUGUCCUUCUGUGUGUUCCCGUCAGAUAUGAGGGGCAGACACUCUGGAGAAUUCCCAGACACAAUGGUGGACUCAGAGGAAAACAAAUAAAUAUUGUCUCUCCAGGUGCGGCUCACAACACUUUUGCUUCUAAAGUCCCGGGACAUUUUCAGAAAUAAAGAAAAAUAACGGAAUACAUCCCGGCACGUGCUGUUGAGAUAGUAACUCAUUAGGCCGAUAUUUAUGCAUAGGAUUUGGAACACAAAAUAAUAUGCGUCUACAUGGCCUAAGAGGUGUUCCAUGGUUUGGGAUUCCUCUACUCCUGGAGGAGAGUGCAUUCCUUUCAGCAGUAUGUCAUGACCGCGUCUUAUCAGCCCCAACCACGCCAUGUUGGAACACACGCCUCUCACAGCACAACGCAACACACCGCUCAGCUCACACACUUUAAUGCCUGCUGCCUGUAUUAAAAACAGCCACUGCCAAGCCUAACCUCACGGCCAUUGUGAGUCCUGGCGCCCCGCGACGACGAGGCCAAAAAACCCAGACCCCCUCCCCAAAUAACGCUCGCCUCGCAACACAAAUGGACCGGACUGAUUGCCUGCGCCGAUGCAUCAUCAACACAUGCAAUCAGUAAACACACAGACGGUCGUGAUGCACCUGUCGGCCUCGCGCCGCGGGGAGCCAUCCUGCCGUCAGGCACACACACACACGCACACACACACACACACACACGGUGCAUGCAUACACACAUUUACACAGCGAUGGCGGUUAUUACCGGAGACACGAGACCUGUGAUAUGACAGCUCUAUCGAUCUGAAAGGUGGUCGUCGUUAAAGCUUUGGUUCUCCCUCCCUGUCUCCACGAUGCCUCAAAUUUCCGCUCAUAACCCCGCGCUGUUCCUCCCGCGUUCUCCCCCAGAGACCCUUUAUAUAUAAAACCCCUCCAGCCUCUCCUCGCGCCGGUCUCUCGGGGUCUGGAUGCUGACGGCCGGGAUGCGACCACCGCCUCCAGCCCCGCGCGCCACACCGGAACGGGUCACCGGGGCCGGAGCCUAACGCAUGGUGGGCCGACCAACGGUAAACCGGGACUCACUCAGUAGAAGGUCCCGUUCGCUGUCCACACCGCGGGGGUCUUCCACAGAACGCUCGCGCCUCGCCGUCCGCGGUUGUUUAUUUCUCGGUGUCUCUCGUCGCCGCCCCUCCUCGCGCCUCUCUUCUCCUCGAGCUGCUGCGGGCUCCUGGCGCGCGCUGCUGCUCGCCGAUGAGGUGAUGCCGUCACGCCCGGUCGGAUCGUGGGGAGAUCGAGCUGUCCGUUAUUUCCCCCCUCGAUACUCUGGAUGGAGCGAUGCUGCCUUUUGGACCCUCGCGCGGCGUUCACUAGUAGCGCGUGAAACGACGUGCUUUUCGGUGUCCGCCUCUCCUGAUGCAGUACCCUAAAGGCCCACCGGGGGCGCUGUCUGGAGCUGGUGAUGUGCAGUAGGCUGUUA